rnacentral:lncRNA from 1 species
AGGUUAGGGUUUUGGGUUUAGAUUAAUUAUUUUUUUAAUUUAUAUUUUAAAUAUGUUCUUAUAUAAUUAUAAAAGAGAUAAUAAUAAAUUUGUUUAGGGUUUUUAGUUUAGGGUAUAUGAUUAAUUUAAGAUUUAAGGCCGGUUUAGGAGAUCAUAUUUUAAGGUUUAGGGAGUAUGGAUUUAGGGAUUAUGGAUUAGGGAUUAUGGUUUAAGGGUUGGGAUUUAAGGUUUAAGGGUUUAAACGUUAGGGUUUAAGAGUUAGGGAUUUAAGGUUUAGGGAUUCAGGGGUCGGGUUAAAGUUUUGA